rnacentral:rRNA from 1 species
UACAGAGGUCUCAAGCGUUGUUCGGAUUCAUUGGGCGUAAAGGGUGCGUAGGCGGCGCGGUAAGUCGGGUGUGAAAUUUCGAGGCUUAACUUCGAAACUGCAUUCGAUACUGCCGUGCUUGAGGACUGGAGAGGAGACUGGAAUUUACGGUGUAGCGGUGAAAUGCGUAGAUAUCGUAAGGAAGACCAGUGGCGAAGGCGG